UUUUUUUUGUCUUUAAAAUAUAUUUUUUGUAAAUGUAAGUUAAGAUACAUAUUGUAGCAUAACAAAUGAGUGAAGAGUAUUUGUAUUGUAUGAGAGAAAGUCAGAGAGCGAGAAAAUAUUACCAAAUAAAACUUAUAUGUAACCUUAAAUAUUAUAAUUGUAAAAAUCAAUUUGUCAGUGAUAAAAAUUGUAUACUGAAUUAUUUUCUAUAAUAUGUAACCCCUUAAUACCCGUCAGGUGGUAUGUUAAGGGUACUUGUAUGUUAAAUCC
rnacentral:lncRNA from 1 species